rnacentral:rRNA from 1 species
UUCCUACGGGAGGCAGCAGUGAGGAAUAUUGGUCAAUGGGAGAGAUCCUGAACCAGCCAAGCCGCGUGAGGGAAGACGGCCCUAUGGGUUGUAAACCUCUUUUGUCGGAGAACAAAACCCGGGACGUGUCCCGGACUGCGUGUAUCCGAAGAAAAAGCAUCGGCUAACUCCGUGCCAGCAGCCGCGGUAAUACGGAGGAUGCGAGCGUUAUCCGGAUUUAUUGGGUUUAAAGAGUGCGUAGGCGGACAGUCAAGUCAGCGGUAAAAAUGCGGUGCUCAACGCCGAACAGCCGUUGAAACUGGCAG